GUAUUGUGGUUUGCCCCUUCACUCUGUGCCAGUUCAUUGUUUCCCAUGCCAGUGUUUCUUGUGCCCCCUGUGUUUUGUGGAUUCACUUUGGAUUUCCUUUCAGUUGGACCUUUUGGAUUAUUCCCCUGUUGUGUUUUGGGCUGCUCACACCAUAUCAACUAUGUCUACAUGGUCGGAGGGUGGCCGAUGUCCAGUCUCCUCUGUGCGGAGCCUCUUUUCCGGGCAGCUGGUACAGCACUGACUCCACUUCCCAGUGUGCCUGGGGUCUGGAAGAAAGCCUUAGCAGCAGACGAUGUGGUUUCCUUUGGUGUCUGUGAAGACUCCAACCUGGGCAAUCUCUGGCCUUCAGGCCUCUGGUCAGGCUUGUCUGGCGCCCUGUACAGCAUGACCACCGAGGGCUGGGACAGGCUGGGCAGUUCAUUACCCUGACCUGAUGGCAGUGGAUGUGAUAACUCAGCUAUGACAGAUAAGAACAGCUUGAUUAGAGAGACAGGAAAUGCGAGAGAGAGAGCGGGGAUGCCAUGCUGGUGUAUGUGCGCUUGUAAAUGGUGCACAUGCUCCACCAGUGCAACCCAUCUCUCAAGGACCACUGUGGCAGUCCCAAGCCUGUCCCAGACCCUACAAAACAAGGAAAACCCUUCCCAUAGGCCGCCACUAUCAGGGACUUGGGUUACAACACCGCCCCCUCGUGUCCAGCCGAGUAGUUGCACUCUCUUCUCCGAGUUCUUCAGGCUUCUGUCGCUUUCUCUCAGCCUCAGAAGAGUUUUGUCUCCUGUAGGUACCCGUCCUGUCGCACACCCCUCUCUAGGAUCUUUUCCUGACUCUUAUAAAGCCUUUCCUAAACUAGACCCUCGGCACUUCCACUCCGUCAUGGUGGAAUCAGGUCGGAGUCACCCUCACAGCCACUCACUGCUACCAUAGGUCUAUCAAACAAACAGCUGUAUUAAGAUUCAGGAAUGAUAUUGAGGGAAAGCGUGUGUUUUGCAAUGACGAAACUGAAACCAUUUGUCAUUUAUUUAAUUAUUAUAAAUGUACCAAAUUAUUUGGGUUAGAUUUAUAAUAUUUCUUUAAGACAUUGAUUUGGUUCAGCUGUUAAUCU